rnacentral:rRNA from 1 species
GACGAACGCUGGCGGCGUGCUUAACACAUGCAAGUCGAACGGAAAGGCCCCUUUGGGGGUACUCGAGUGGCGCACGGGUGAGUAACACGUGAGUAACCUGCCCUUGACUUCGGGAUAACUUCAGGAAACUGGGGCUAAUACCGGAUAGGAAUCCUUGCUGCAUGGUGGGGGUUGGAAAGCUUCGGCGGUUUUGGAUGGACUCGCGGCUUAUCAGCUUGUUGGUGGGGUAGUGGCUUACCCAGGCUUUGACGGGUAGCCGGCCUGAGAGGGCGACCGGCCACAUUGGGACUGAGAUACGGCCCAGACUCCUACGGGAGGCAGCAGUGGGGAAUAUUGCACAAUGGGCGGAAGCCUGAUGCAGCAACGCCGCGUGCGGGAUGACGGCCUUCGGGUUGUAAACCGCUUUCAGCAGGGGCGAAGCUUGUGGUGACGGUACCUGCAGAAGAAGCACCGGCUAACUACGUG